UGUUCCUGAGACCCAGGUAGCAAAGGGGUUUGAGUUUGCAGUUGGAAUCAAAGGCUUCCCAACAAGGAAACAACUAAUGCUUCCUUUAAUUUUCUGGCAAGAAGCUAAAGAGAAGGUGACUUGAGCUCCUCAUGUGUUUUGAUCACUCAACAAAGAAGACAGAAAAGGGCGUUUCAUAACCUGACAG